AGCGAACGCUGGCGGCAGGCCUAACACAUGCAAGUCGAACGAAGUCUUCGGACUUAGUGGCGGACGGGUGAGUAACACGUGGGAACGUACCUUUUGGUUCGGAACAACUCAGGGAAACUUGAGCUAAUACCGGAUGAGCCCUUAGGGGGAAAGAUUUAUCGCCGAAAGAGCGGCCCGCGUUAGAUUAGCUAGUUGGUGAGGUAAAGGCUCAACAAGGCUACGAUCUAUAGCUGGUCUGAGAGGAUGAUCAGCCACACUGGGACUGAGACACGGCCCAGACUCCUACGGGAGGCAGCAGUGGGGAAGCUUGCGCAAUGGGCGAAAGCCUGACGCAGCCAUGCCGCGUGAAUGAUGAAGGUCUUAGGAUUGUAAAAUUCUUUUACCAGGGACGAUAAUGACGGUACCUGGAGAAAAAGCCCCGGCUAACUUCGUGCCAGCAGCCGCCGUAACAC
rnacentral:rRNA from 1 species